CCGGAAGCGCGGCGGCCAGCGCAGCCUUAGGCGGGCGGCGGGGCCAGGGAGCGGCCUGCUCCUCUCCCGCAGCCCCCGGGAGCAGAGGCGGGUGCGCGGCAAAGCUUGGGUUCUUCUCGCCAGCCGCGGGAUGAGAAUAACGUUGAUGACGCACUCAUGUUUUAGUUGCUGCUAAGCAGUCAAGGACUUUUCAGCUUCUCAUAUUGGCCUGCCAACGAGAAUGCGGGGGACGCCCGAGAAGCUAGGAGGGGACACGGCCAGGACAGCUGACCCAAGCUGGCCAAAGGGAUAUUCCAUACCAUGUGACGUCAUGCUCCGCAUAUAACCGGGGAAGCUAGCCGGGAGGCAGUUUGGCUUGAGAACUAGCCGGGUAUCCGCUUCAGUUGUGUCCUGCAGCCCACUCCUUGGUUUUCACGGCGGCCUCCGCCUCUGCACAGCAGCCCAUCUCUCCAGGAGCCCGACAGACCGACCGUCCGUUCCCCGCCGGACUGCCGAGGUGUCCCAGGGGCAAGCCCCGAGCCCCGGCGUGACGUCACUCCUGGGACUCAGUCCUCAUGUGACUGAAUAAACGCUUGCCGUCUCCUUUGCCCUCCCA